UGCAUCGGCCGGGAAUCGAACCCGGGCCGCCCGCGCAGCAUUCUACCACUGAGCCACCGAUGC
rnacentral:tRNA from 1 species